rnacentral:misc_RNA from 1 species
AACUUUUGACAAUGGAUCACUUGGAUCUCGCAUCGAUGAAGAACGCAGCGAAAUGCGAUAAGUAAUGUGAAUUGAAGAAUUCAGUGAAUCAUCGAAUCUUUGAACGCACCUUGCGCUCUUUGGUAUUCCGAAGAGCAUGCCUGGUUGAGUGGCAUGAAAAUAUCAACCUUGACUUGGGUUUAGUGCACUUGGCUUGGCUUGGAUUUGGCUGCUUGCCGCUCGAACGAGUCGGCUCAGCUUAAAAGUAUUAGCUGGAUCUGUCUUUGAGACUUGGUUUGACUUGGCGUAAUAAGUUAUUUCGCUGAGGACAAUCUUCGGAUUGGCCGAGUUUCUGGGACGUUUGUCCGCUUUCUAAUACAAGUUCUAGCUUGCUAGACAUGACUUUUUUAUUAUCUGGCCUCAAAUCAGGUAGGACUACCCGCUGAACUUAAGCAUAUCAAUAAGCGGAGGCU